AUUUGAGUUUACAUGAUUUGGUCUCGCUGUUUUGAAAAUCGAUGAAAUGAGCUUUCAACGAUAUGAAGUGAAACCAUUGACCUCCAUAUGCAUCUAGCAGGGCUGUGUCACAUGCAUCUUUCAGCAACAAAGCACUCACACCUAUCGUAAGAUGAAACUCGUGCUCAUAUUGCAUCUGCUGUAUCACAGUAAACAUGCUGAUUUGGUGAUAAGUAUUUUGCACAAAUAUAAUGAUAUAUAUAUAUAUAUAUAUAUAUAUAUAUAUAUAUAUAUAUAUAUAUAGAGAGAGAGAGAGAGAGAGAGAGAGCCAGCUCCAUUGGCAUUAAGAGAUAAAGCCCUAAGCUGACAGGGGGUGGGGAAGGAAUGGCGAUGUGGAACCUGCUUCCCUUUUCCAUUCCACAGGAUGGCAUACAAGUAGAACUAGGCUGGUUAUUCUGGCUCUGGUGGAGAUUAGCACAGAGACCAGCAGUCAUGUGGAAGGAGCGGCCAAGAUUGGGAGCAUAUUUGCUACUGAGCCUGAGGCAAGGCCUCUCCCAGUAACCAUGCCUCAUUGUUCAGCCCUGUCUUAAUUAUGACAUGAACAUGAAGGGGUAGCAAUAAGCCAAACACCGAAUAAUACACUGCAGUAGAUAUGUGGUUAUGGCAGCUCCUUGACCAGUCCACCUUCCAUGACUUUUACUUCACCAGCUGGGGGGGGACUGGCAGGGUAUAAUCAGGCAACAGGAUUAAAACAAUGUGGCUUGAGAAACAGAAGGGUUGCAGAGGGUGCACCACUCUGCCAUGUGAAGAUUAACCCAAACCAUGUAUAACACAGAUUUGCAAUUAAAAAAAAACUGUUGCAUGUAUUGGUAAAUUAAAUUAUCUUAGGGCUACCUCAUUAGCAGUUCACUUGAUAUAAUCCUUUCAGUUGUCAGUGUUUUUAGUAAUGAUGUUCAACAAAAAUUUCUUAAACAAAAAAGUUCAUCUUUUUUGGUUAAAAUCAAGGUACAUUCCAUUGUUAUUAAAUAUGCUGGAGAAAACUCAUCUGUUAAUACUAUGAGGUACUAGAAAUGUUAAGUGCAUUAGGGCACACAUAUGUUAAUCUGCUCUGAACAUAUUUUUGAAAAGUCUGCUUCCAUUUUUGUCUUUCAGUUGCCUAAAUUAAGUUUAGCAGGUAGCAAUAAUGAGAUAUGAAUCUGCUGUCGUCAGUCCAGCUGCUGACUUUUAUGAAAUGAUGUAUCAUUGUUAUGUAUGUGUAUAUUAUGCAAAAAAAUAAAUAUUUUUAAUUGUAAGCGG